UACAGAGGGUGCAAACGUUGCUCGGAAUCAUUGGGCGUAAAGCGCACGUAGGCGGCCCAGCAAGUGGGGAGUGAAAGCCCUCGGCUUAACCGAGGAAGUGCUUUCCAAACUACUGGGCUUGAAUACUGGAGAGGGUCGCGGAAUUCCCGGUGUAGAGGUGAAAUUCGUAGAUAUUCGCAAGAACACCAGUGGCGAAGGCGGCUCACUGGCCCGGUACUGACGCUGAGGUGCGAAAGCGUGGGGAGCAAACAGG
rnacentral:rRNA from 1 species